rnacentral:rRNA from 1 species
AUGGCUGCGCCGCCGGCGAGGGCCCGGGCCGACUACGACUACCUCAUCAAGCUCCUCCUCAUCGGGGACAGCGGUGUUGGCAAGAGUUGCCUCCUUCUGCGGUUCUCUGAUGGCUCCUUCACUACGAGCUUUAUUACCACGAUCGGUAUUGACUUUAAGAUCAGAACAAUAGAGCUGGAUCAGAAACGUAUUAAGCUACAAAUAUGGGACACGGCUGGUCAAGAACGUUUCCGGACUAUUACCACUGCGUAUUACCGUGGAGCCAUGGGUAUCCUGCUUGUUUAUGACGUCACCGAUGAGUCAUCUUUCAACAACAUAAGGAACUGGAUCCGGAACAUCGAGCAGCAUGCCUCUGACAAUGUCAACAAAAUUUUGAUUGGCAACAAGGCUGAUAUGGAUGAGAGUAAAAGGGCUGUACCUACUGCGAAGGGGCAAGCUUUGGCUGAUGAAUACGGCAUCAAGUUCUUUGAAACUAGUGCCAAGACAAACCUCAACGUGGAGCAAGUUUUCUUCUCCAUUGCCCGCGACAUUAAGCAGAGGCUUGCCGAGACCGAUUCCAAGCCUGAGGACAAGACCAUCAAGAUUAACAAGGCAGAAGGCGGCGACGCCCCGGCAGCUUCGGGGUCUGCCUGCUGUGGCUCUUAA